CCCCACCUGGAUCCCAGAAAGCCAAGUCCUUCACUGUUAACUUGGAAUGGACUUUCUUUGCACAGCGAAAAGCAUAGCUUAAAAUACUCCUCGCCGCCCCCCCCCACCUUCCCGAAAUCUCCAGCACAGCUCUUGCAUCCCGACCUUUGAUGGGAGCAACUAAUCCCAGUGGGUUGGGCCCUUGCAACUCUGUGUGCAUUAGAAUGGGCUCCUGGGCCUAAGCCUGUGGGGUGGGGGCAGGAAGGGUUUGGAGACCCCACUCCUGAGAGGCUGAGGGGUCCAUGUAGUGGGGGUCUCACCCUUGGGGGGGUUGCUGAUGCACACUGCAGGGCCGGGGAUCAGAUCCUUUAUUGGGAACAGGGUUUGAAUGAGCAAGGUGCAGCUGGGGCACUUGCCAGUUUCAGGUGUAGUACAUGUAACAGUAUAUUAGUUUCAGGUGUAUGACAUUAUACGCUGUUCACCAUAAUAAGUAUAGUUACCAUCUGUCAUCACACAAAGUUAUUACAAUAUUAUUGACUAUAUUCCUCAUGCUGGACUUUUCUUCCCUGUGAUUUAUAACUGAAGAGUUGCUGUUUCAAAGAGGCCCAGAGCUGGAUUUGCUGGGUUCCAGUGGCCCCUGGGACAUCAGGUUCCUGAAAUCAGAGAAGAGGUUUGCUUUUUCUCUCAGAGACCCUUGGGGAUCAAGCCUCAGCUUCUGGGUCUCAGAGUAGGCGCGUCUGGACGCCCCGUCCCGGUCAGUCGUGCCGUGUCCAGAACCCCCAGUGCAGUGAGGUCCUGGGCCUCCCCGAGUCGCCAGGCUUCACCUGGCCGUGGAGGAGCCGGCCCCGAACUUCCUAAGGGGCAUCUGUGCUCCACGACGCCCCGGAGCCGCUCGUGUCCCGGCCUAGCAAACCCCAGGACACAAGCCUUGAUGGAAUGGGUUAGGGAAUAGGGUUUUGUUCAUUUGUUUCAAGUUUUUUGUGGGAAGUACCUCUGGAAUGAAAACUAUAAGACUGCGGGGUGGGGUGGGAGUUUGCCCGUUACUCUCCCCUGCUCCCGAGGAGAGGCCAAGCCGACGGCGUUUAUGAAUCCAGAGUGGUCCUGAGGUCGCAGAGAAAACAGAAGCGCUGCCUAUUUCACGCACGGACCACGAGAAGCAGAGCAGCUCGCUCCCGUGACGGCGGGCCCCUUUCUCAGAGAAGUCACGGCGGCUAAGUCAUCACAGCUCCGAAAGGAAGGUGCGCCAGUUAUUGGGAGAAUGCAGGCGACCUGCGUCUGAGGUGACGAGGGCGGGAAGGACUAGCCCCGUCAUCGGUGGACUGAUGACAUCAACACAACUUUGCUGUGAUUGGCAUUCCUUUCUUUCUCAAGGAUGGAAAUGAAUUUUUGACAUCGAAUGAGCCUUCUUUCAUACUUUAUCUAAGAAUAAGACCCUCAUUGGUGGAUGCAGUGUCUUGAUAGUAAAAGGCAAACUUAUUCUAGUACCUGCAAUACCGCAGAGAAACGCCCAGCCCGGGGGGAGGGGUGACGGGGGGCAAAGGGGGCUUCCAGGGUACAGAGGCCUCGGAGACACAAGGCCAGUGUGAUAUAUUUAAUCCUUGUCACUUUACCUUAGAGUGCAAAGACGUUUUGAACUGCCAGAAAGUAUGUUAAAAAGAUCUGUAUUUCAUUCCUCGUCUCUUUGAUCUGAUUGCACCCGAUCCCAUCAGUAGUUAUUAGGCGGCUCCGCAGUGAUCAGGCCAGUUCUGAACUCCCUCCCACCCCCACCCCACCCCUCCUAGGGAGAUACAAGUGCAGGAAAAGGUCCCUGUCCUGGACUUUGGGCUCUGCUGGGGAGACGGAUGGGUUGUUAAAAAGCCUGGACAAAAACCACAAGGCAGAGCGGACAUGAGGGUGCGGGUGGGGCUAACUGAUGUUGUUUCUACCCUGAGUCUAGACUCCUGUCUUCUGGUCAUGCUCCCAUCUGGCUUUUGAAGAAUGGCCUUGAACUAGCACCUAUUCAGUCAGAGAAGAUGCCCGGCCCUCCUCUAGCCAGGGCAGAUAGAACCUUCCCUCCUAGGUGGUUCAGUCUUACCUGGAGGGACACAAGGAUGAAGGAAAAAAUACAGACACACACACACACACACACAGUCGCAGGCUGCCCACCCCUCCACAUUGGCUCAGACUCUGCUCAGCACCAAGGCCCAGAUGAAGCAACCCGUUAGUGUUUGUUCCUCAGGCCCCCAGGGCCAGCACAGGCCCCAGCCCCUGCCAAGCCUGGCUCUUUGCUCUUUUGGUCCAACGGGCUCUCCCAUUUCCUGUCAUCCGUUCUCUUUUUGCUGAAGUUAUUCAGAGGUAGUUGUGUUGCUUUCACACAAAGAACCCGAGUGGGAUGCUGGGGAAAUUAUUUUUACAUCCCUCAGGGUUCGGAAAGAUUAGAGAACAUGCUCUGGCCUCAGGAAGACUGACAGAACUGUCCAGAGCCCAGACCCAGGCGGACAACGGCUAGCCCUGGGGGCUGCGAGCUCUGAGAAUAGAAGCAAGACUGGUUUGACUAUGGGGAGCACAGAAAGCCUCCUGUGUUGGUCAGAUGAACAGAGAUCUUAACAUCUCCUCCCUGCUCUUCUCCCUACCCCCUGCACGCUCAAUAUAGGGUGUCCCACAUAGUGGGGUCUGUGGAUGGGUUCAGUUCCAUUAGUCACCUGUUUUGACAGGCCCGUGAGCCCCCAGACUGGAGGGCCCGCACGAGUGAGCACACACAGCUUCCCAGACUGAACUUUGUACCAUUUGCUCAGUCACCCUGGGGAUCAUCUGGGUGGCACAGCGGUUAAG